rnacentral:rRNA from 1 species
GGGGAAUCUUGCACAAUGGGGGAAACCCUGAUGCAGCGACGCCGCAUGAGUGAUGAAGCCCUUCGGGGUGUAAAGCUCUUUCGACAGGAACGAUAAUGACGGUACCUGAAGAAGAAGCUGCGGCUAACUACGUGCCAGCAGCCGCGGUAAUACGUAGGCAGCAAGCGUUGUUCGGAAUUACUGGGCGUAAAGAGUGCGUAGGUGGUUGGCUAAGUUUGGUGUGAAAUCUCCCGGCUCAACUGGGAGGGUGCGCCGAAAACUGGCUAGCUAGAGUGUGGGAGAGGGACGUGGAAUUCCUGGUGUAGCGGUGAAAUGCGUAGAUAUCAGGAGGAACACCUGCGGUGUAGACGGCGUCCUGGACCAUUACUGACACUGAGGCACGAAAGCGUGGGGAGCAAAC